AGACUCUGUGCGCGUGCAUAUCAAUAAGCGGAGGAAAAGAAACUAACAAGGAUUCCCCUAGUAACGGCGAGUGAAGCGGGAAGAGCUCGAAUUUGAAAUCUUAAAGGGUUUCCCUUUACGAAUUGUAGUUUAAAGAAGUGUUUUCUGUUGGAGUUCCGGUAAAAGUUCCUUGGAAUAGGACAUCAUAGAGGGUGAGAAUCCCGUAUUUGGUCAUUCCUCCUAGCGUUGUGAUACACUUUCAACGAGUCGGAUUGUUUGGGAAUGCAGUCCAAAAUGGGUGGUAAAUUUCAUCUAAAGCUAAAUAUUGGCGAGAGACCGAUAGCGAACAAGUACCGUGAGGGAAAGAUGAAAAGAACUUUGAAAAGAGAGUUAAACAGUACGUGAAAUUGUCAAAAGGGAAGCGUUUGACACCAGUGUUGUUUAGUUGAAAAUCAAUUCAAUAAUUUUUGAUUUUAAGUAGUAUUGACUUCAUCAGCUUGCUGCUUUCUUUUCAGGAAUUAUUGAAUGCACUUUUCAGUUAACAAGUCAACAUCAAUUUCUUUUGUUGUAAAAGGGUAAGAGGAAGGUGGCUUACGCUUCGGCGUAAGUGUUUAUAGCCUUUUACCUCUGCAAUCGGAGAGAUUGAGGACAGCAGCGUAGACUCCUUCGGGGGUUAGAUACACUUGUGCUAAGCUAUAGCCUUGUAUAGACAACUUGUUGGCUAUGCUCAGUCAUGUAGCUUACUCGCUUGUGCUAUUUUACCUACGCUUAGGAUGUUGACUGAUAUGUAGUCGUA
rnacentral:rRNA from 1 species